CCUGAUGACUUCGGAUCGCGCCUCUUCUGCAACUGGUGGUUGAGGGCACCCUUGGGAAAGAAUGUCGAAGUUUCGGUUGAAGAAUAUUAUGCUGGCCAAAAAGACUGCAACAAAGCCUACGCUGUCAUCAGUUUAGAUGGUGAAACCUACGACAGUGAUACAAUGCAACGUGUGUGUAGCGGCGGUAACACCACAACGCGGUCGACUGACAACCGAAUGAACAUUAUUGUCAACGGUAAACACAGCGUUCGACCUCGAUUCAGGGCUUCCUACAAGGUUGUUUAAGUUUCCAUUAUACCGGCCGUCAUCUGAUGAAUUAAAAAAUCCGGCAAAUUGUAAAACUAAAAUGGAAACAGAUCUACUUCUCUGAAAAAUCCCUAAUUGAUUGCAGGGUACAAUAAAAAUUAUUUCGGUC